UGUGUGUGUGUGUGUGUGUGUGUGUGUGUGUGUGUGUGUGUGUGUGUGUGUGUGUAUAUAAGUGUGGUGCCAAUAAAAGCUUUUAGUUGUCAUUCCUGCGCUCUGUUGCUGUUCUCCUCAACUCAGCGAGCGCAGACAGUUUCCACUUCCACAGUAUUGAAUUAAAUAAAAACUCCUAUUUCAUCAACACGAUGAUUAUGAGGCAGCGAGGCUCCGCUUUUUAAAUUGAAGCCAUUAGAACCUCAUCGCUAGAUGUUUGUGUGUUUGAGAAUAGUGCUCCAGAUGUCCCUUCAUGUCCCAUGAGAUGCUCCUGUUUCAGUAAUCCAGACAUGGUCCAGGCACGAGGACUUCACAAAGCAAUUACCAUUUUUAAUCUCCUAUUUGGAGUGUGUGUGUGUGUGUGUGUGUGUGCGCUUUAACACUCCCUGUGUGACCUUUGCCCUCUUAUGGGCCUCAAAGACCUCUCCAGCUGUCAUGUGGAAAGUGUCUGGUGGAAAUCAGGAAUUUAUCUUCUUUCUUUCUUUUAAUAAAGUGUUAUUUUAUCUGUAGCAUAAUAUCAGACUUUCUGUUUCUGCAUUCAUUAAUUGAUGUAGGAUUUAUUUUGCUAUAAUUCCUGCAUCUUCUUACGUGACUCUGUCAGAUCUAAAUUCGCCCGAAACUAAUUUCAGGAAUUUGUGUUUAGAAUCUAAUUAUAAAAAAAAAUAAAUGAUGUGGAAAUACAGUAAAUGAGACUAAAUAUUGUGUGUUAAUUUCAGGCCUAUACAAACAGCACCAUUGGUCUACUUAUGUGUCUGUAUCUCUAUAUAUCUUCUAAUAUGUUUGUCUCUUUCUGUACAUCUAUGUUGGUCUAUCUGCUUGUCUUUUUCUUUCUUUCUCUCUCCCCUUCUCUCUCUCCAUCUACAUGACCUAAAACUGUUUUUUUUUUUUUCAUUGUAUUUUUUUGUCCUAACAAUAGAGGUGGGUAUUCCAGUUUCUUUCACUGAGUCAAAUCAUUCGACUCAGCUUACUUAAGAGUCGAGUCUUUGGCUUAUCGUCAUUUUUCUCCCACCUACACUUGACAGAUGACACAUUUUUGCCUUGUGAUUUAUUUCAUAAAAACAAAUCUUCUUUAAAAAUCUCAUUUAUUUUUUCUUUUCAUUAUAAUAAACGAUGUCGGAUUGUUGCGACUUGCAGACAGA